rnacentral:rRNA from 1 species
GGUCGAGUGACCCCGCGCCGAAAAUGUACCGGGGCUAAACAUAUUACCGAAACUGUGGAUGAACCUCUUUAGAGGUUCGUGGUAGGAGAGCGUUCUAAGGGCGGUGAAGUCAGACCGGAAGGACUGGGGGAGCGCUUAGAAGGGAGAAUGCCGGUAUGAGUAGCGAAAGAAGGGCGAGAAUCCCUUCCACCGAAUAUCUAAGGUUUCCUGAGGAAGGCUCGUCCGCUCAGGGUUAGUCGGGACCUAAGCCGAGGC